GAAAAAACAGGCAUGCUUACCGAAGCGAUGGAAGAAUACAAGAAUCCAGUGAAGAACAAAAAGCACUGCUGCAGCAUGUGUCAUCAUUACCAUAGAGGAAGGUACCUGCCAACUGCCAAUCAUGGAUCUAUGUGAUAAGACGUCACACAGACUGAACAUCCAGAUGAUACAGAUACAAAUGCAAUCAACCACACCAAGCCAUCUUCCUCCAUUCCUUUAUGGUACAGUUCUGAUAAUUUGGAGUUUCGGUGUGGUGGACAGAGGUCAGCUGGAAAAAGCUCAGGAUACCGUGAGCAUUUUGCAGUUUUAAACACUUCAAAUAUGGCUUCAAAUAUAACAAACUGGGCAGUUUUUCUGCUGGAUCAGAACAACACGGUCCAGGCUUGACAAGAUCCUCAAUCAUCUGGGUCUUGAUUUUCUCACUUGGAUUAUAUUCAAUAGCUACCACAGAGCUGCUGCAGUACAGGAAAUGCCCAGCUGUAUUCAAACUUUACAGUUUAGUUCCUGUUAACAUAUGAACUUUAUGUAGUAAUACAGCAAUAAAACACAAAUACAUUUAUUUUCCUGUCCAUGUCCAUGUCAAACAGCUGUUUAGUUGUAAAUGGGAAUGGUAACUUUUAGUUGUCAACCUGGUGUGACAUUUAAUGAGUUAUUCAUCAUUACGCAUCUUUAUUCAUAACUAUAAGGGAUUCAUAACAAUAAGGGAGACAAAAUCCAUUACAUUUAUUCUCACGUAGAUUUUCAUCAUGUUAUGAUAUAAAGUUGGUGCAUCGACAGUAUCAGGUUUACUCUGAAGUAGGUAGCCAGAAACAGCACCUUUGUCCUCUGUGGUUGAGAUGUACAUUCUGCAUGUUGGUAACUGUCUUCUGUGCACCAUCUGUACCUGCAGCUUGGCUUGUAUCAUUAACCAAACCACAGAGAAGUCAGCAGGGACCAAACGGCAGCAGUUGCUUUACAACAUACAAACACACACAAUCGCAUAAUAAUUCAGUCAUGAGAAAAUCUGCUAUGGUUAACUCAGAAGUGAAGAAGGUUAUUGUAAAUUCUUACAGCUUAAACACAUUAACCUUGUGAAAAACAUGGAUAGGUGCAUUGCUGCAUUGCACCACAUGACUACUUUUCACCUGUAGUUACUUGCAGAUAGUUGUUACAAUAAAAUAUGUAAAUAGAAACACAAAUUAAGCAGUUCCACAAAGUUUUAAAUAUUCAUUUCAUAAUAAACUGCAGCAUCUUUAUCUUGUCAGUAAAUGCCCUUUAUUCACAAAAUAUUUUCCUGCUUCUGGAAACAGUUAGUGAAAUUGCAGCACAGGAACUUGUUUCCAAUCCAGGUCCAGUCUGAUAAUGUACCUUUAUUGGAGCAAAUGGUUCUUGUAGAGUAGAGCUGAUGCUUUUUGUGUCUUUGCUCUGUGCUUUACUGUAGAGGGUCGUGUACAAAAUGUAUUUAUUUGUUUUUUUGUUGUUUGUUUUUAUUAUGUAUCACCUCUCAGUGUUAUGUUUAGCUGUAGUCCUGCUAUUCCUGUUUUAUUUCUGUUUAUAGUUCAAUGAUGAGUUUUUGGUACCAAAACGGAACUAACCCAUAGAUAAGAAUACUAAAUGGGUGGUUAAAGUUUUGGUUUUGUUUAUGCAGCAGUUAUUACAAAAUUGUUGCUAUAAAUUUAAAACAUCUGGAUAAUAAAAUUUAAA